GCUAGCUUUGGCAGCAUAUACUAAAAUUGGAACGAUACAGAGAAAUUUAGCAUGCCUCCUGUGCAUGGAUGAUAUGGAAAUUAAUGAAGUGUUCCAUAUUUUU